ensembl:miRNA mir30d microRNA mir-30d
GUCACACUUUGGCACUUUGGGGUUGUAAACAUCCCCGACUGGAAGCUGUGUCUGCGCAGAGCUUUCAGUCUGAUGUUUGCAGCUGCAGGUUGCUCCGUUCUCCAC